ensembl:lncRNA
CAGUGAGGCUGCAAGCCGAGUUUCUGGAAACAGAGCAGUAUCCUGGGAAAAUCAUAAAAGGCUGGGUCAUAAAUAACAAGAUGAAAAUACAUUUCCUGCUCUGGAUUUGUGACCUGAACUGCCUUCCACUGCGCUGUCACUGACCACUUCUGCCAUAAACACAUGUGACAUUCAUGGGGCAGCUGUUGGCUGUGAGGAACUACUAUACCAGAUGUUUUAGCAAUAUGACCUCAGUGCACUUAAUUCAUCAACACCCUUGAUGACAAAACUGAAAACCAAAGUGGUUCAAUAAUUUUUCCAAGGCCAUUUCAAGAAGCAGUGGUGCUGAAUUUAAACCAAGCUCUGUCUUCAUGUAAAGCCCAUACUCCUCAUCACUAUUUUGUCUUAUACACACACGUAAAUUUAUCAAUUAUAAUAACAUUACUGUGAUCAUGCCUUUGCUCUUGACUUUGCUGUCUGUUAAGCCUACUUAUGCUGUUCCCUCCCACCUAUUUCUGAGUGAACUUGCCUCAUGCCCAUUCCAUCUGGAUGUCUUAUCUCUGAACUGAACUUAGCACUCACAGAUCACAACACACCAUCUCCCUGGUUCCACAUGGCUCCAACUGCAUGUAACAACCAAGAUGGAACAAUAUGCCAAGAAUCAGUGAGAUCACCAGUUAAUAUAAAAUUGUAUUUUAGUUUCCAUUUGGGUCUAAAAUGUCAAAGAAAUUAGAAGAAACAUUCUUCGUGAUCAUUACUGGGGAGAUCAGCAUAAUCAUUUCAAAUUACUUAAAUGAUGGCUACUCUUUAACACAUGAGCACAGUAACUUCUCUAUGUUGAAUUUUUUCUGCAUAUUUUGUUUAGCAAGGCCCAUCUGUCCUUCACAUUCAUCUUCAGUCUGGUUUGGUUUCAUUUUAACAUAUAAACCAGGUCUUCUAUCAGUGGUAAAAGAAAAAGAGCAAAGUUAUAUGCAAUGCCUACUUUCUAAGAUAAAAGAAAAAUGAGGGUUAAGGAAAGGACUUCAAAGUUAAUUUACCAAAAUCCAACUACAUUCUUGACCCUUGAAGACCCCAAUAAGGCAUUAAUUACAAACGGAUUAACACUUUUCUCCAUUGUAACAAUGGAGUCCUCUGUCAAUGGAAGGUGAUAACAAUAUUUGCAUUUAUCCAUUAGCAUGGGAUUCAGAGAUUAUGAGAAAGGUCUUAACAUUUUUCCUAAAUGAAGUUAAGCAUCUCCAAUACUGGUACGGAGCUGCUUUCACAGUCUAAAAAGAACUGAACAAGUUUAAAACCAGCAACUUCUCACAUAGCGCUCUUUCCUAAGCUAGUGAGAGUGUGAGUGUGUAGACUGGCAGAAUUUAUCCUGCUGCCAAGUAGGUGAUGAUGCUGCAUCAGCAACUGAUUCCAAUGAUACUGUGCAAAAAACUAUUUUCUUAUUCUUCUGCUCUGUAUCUUCAGCUUUCCCCUUUUCUGCUGCCCACUCAGAUGACUGUCAAAUUUCAGAGUGGAUGCAAUGGCUCAGUGAGAGAGACAUAAAUAAACACUAUUCCUUCUCUGAAUGAUUCAACAUGUUGUACCCAUGUUGGGCUAGAGAAUACCAUUAGCAUGGUAAAUUUUAGUUAUAAACAUUUAGAGGGGUUUUUUUCUUAACUAAAUUCUGACACCAACUCUACUAUUUAUGCCUUAAAAUAAGAUUUUGUACUUUUUGUGGAAUGGCAUGACUCUUUGAAAAAUGUAGUAAAUAUAAGGAUACUUGGGCCAGGGAAAUUUUUUAAAAAGUAUUUAUGAAUAGUACACAUGCUCAGUCGAAUUUUUCUUACUCUUUCAAGUUUGUCCUACCAUCUAGGUCAAGUCAGUAAUGCUGCCAAAAUCUUUAAGGAAUCUUUUCACAUGCUGAUAACCUUGAAAGAUGAAUGGAAGCCUAUCUAAGAAUUUUCCUUAAAGGCUCAUUUUUCCUCCAUGAAAAGGAUAUUUGACUGAAAAUAAAGCAGAGUGGUCAAAAGUGCCAAAUUCGACCACAAGGCUGUCACUCUUUGAACUAGCACUCAGGUGGCCUGAGGUGUGAGUGCUUAAGGAGCACAGAGGGACAUGGAGGAUCCUUUUAUAGGUGUGGUGAGACAGGAAGGGUACUGACUGCCUCCUGUGGUCGCCAUCUUGUGUUACAUUUGUGGCUGUGUCACACUGCCUUGCAGAAGAGAUCCUGCUGAUGUUAGUAAGGUUACUAAUCCAUUCACCCCAAAUGAAUCAAAAGAGAGAUAAUCUGGGAGAGCUUCCGCUAAUCAUGUGAGACUUGUAAAAGCAGAGUUUUUACCAGCUGGUGCCAGAAGAGGAAGUCAGAGAGGUUCAACAUGAAGAAAUCCCCUGUGGAGGAGAUGGAAUAGCCCUGUGACCAGAAGCUGAGCGCGUUGUUAGGAACUGAAAGCGCUCCCUUAGCCCACAGCAAAGAAAACAAGAACUUCUUGUUCACAACUCCGAGAACCUGAAUUCUGUCAACAACCUGAAUGAGAUGGAAGUCAGUCUCUCCAUAAGCUCCAGCCUAAUCUAUCUCACCUCUUGAUUUUGGUCCUGUGAGACCUUAACUAGAGAGCCCAGCUAUACUCAGACGUUUGACA